UUUGUAUAUGUUUGAAAUUAUCAAAUUUGAAAAACCGAAAUGUUAUUUGGAUUAUUUUAUUUUACUUCUCUGCUGACUUCUCCAAAUGUCUUGCCUAGGCCUGUGAACCCCAGCCUGCCCUCGGACAUGUCCAGCUUUAUCUGAUGCCAUUCUUCUUGCUCACUUGCCCAGGUUAUAACCUUUCAGUUUUAAGAACUCCUUAAGCUCUUUCUUAUCUUAGAGCAUUUGUGCUUGUUAUUUCCUCUACCAGAAAAUGCUCAUCUGCUCGCUCUUCGCAAGUCUGGCUCCUUCUCUGUUUCAGGUCUUAGCAAAAAUGUCACCUCCUUAGGGAGGCUUUUCUUAGCUCUCCCUUCACUGGUACUAUCACAUUAUUCUAUUUACUUCCUAUCUUACCACAAUUUAUAACUAUUGUUUGUUUAUAUUUAUAUAUAUAUAAUUACACUUACUUGUAAAUUUGAACGAAACUUUUUAUUUUAACUUUUGUAAAAUAUUUUAUUUAUUCAUUUGAGAGAGAGCACAAGCAGUGGGAGCAGCAGAGGGAGAGGGAGAAGCAGGCUCCCCGCUGAGCAGGGAGCCCAACAUGAGGCUCAAUCCCAGGGCCCCAUGAUUAUGACCUGUGCCAAAGGCAGACGCCCAACCAACUGAGCCACCAGGUGCUUCUGAAUGAGUCUUUUUUUUUUUAAAGGACAUUUUUUAAAAAAUUUUUAUUUAUUUGUGAUAGUCACAGAGAGAGAGAGAGAAUGAGGCAGAGACACAGGCAGAGGGAGAAGCAGGCUCCAUGCACCGGGAGCCCGACGUGGGAUUCGAUCCCGGGUCUCCAGGAUCGCGCCCUGGGCCAAAGGCAGGCGCCAAACCGCUGCGCCACCCAGGGAUCCCCUGAAUGAGUCUUUUAAAAAGAUAUUUGAAGGUAUAUCCAUACAUGUUCUGUUCUAUUCUUGUUAUAGUGUCAAUUCUUUGAAAAAUUGGUAAAUACAAAUUUUAAUCAUCUUCCUUCAUAAACAAAGACUUAUUUUGGGGGAAGAUUUUAUUUAUUUAUUUGAGAUAGGAAGAGAGCAGGAGAGAGAGAGUGCAUGAGCAGGGGUUGGGGGCUAGGGGCAGAGGGAGAGGGAGAGCAGGCUCUCCACUGAGCAAGGAGCCUGAUGCGGGGUUCGAUCCUAGGAUCCUGGGAUCACAAUCUGAACAGAAGGCAGAUGCUUAACUGACUGUGCUACCCAAGUGCCCACAUAAACAAAUAUUUAUAAAUAAAAUAAGAUUUUGAUCAGGAGAGUAACUUCUUGAAAUUUUAAGAGGAGAGUAAUAUGAAAUAUGAAUUGGUGAAGGUGAAAUUGUCAUUAGAAACGUCUAUUUGAAUAUACCCUUUAUUUGAUUCUAAAUUUUCCAGUGCUUUUGAAGCUGAAUAAUUUUGUGACAGCCACAGUAUGAUUUAAAUGUUUAAUCUCUGGAAUUAUAUUCUGUAUUAUUAACAUGACACCUCUAUCAUUUCUAAGACCAAUAUAUUUAAAUUUUAUCAGGCGUUAAUUUCAGGCAGCUCUCCUUGAGAUAUGAAAAGAAGAACUCAGCAGGUAAUUUGGCAGAUUCUCUCCUCUGCUGAUCAUUAUUCUGAUUCAGUGUCAUAGAAUUCAUCUAAACUGUGUUAGAACAAAAGCAAAGCCACAUAAGCCACCUACCAAGUCAGUGAGCAGAUGAGAACUGUCUGCCAGUCCUUUGAAUGAAACCCCUGACAUAACAGAUUUUAGAACUGGAAGAUAUCUUACAGAUCAUGUAAUAAUCCAAGGCUCUCAUUUUAACAGGGGUGAGACGGUUGUUUGAACAGGUCAACUGAUUUACUCCCCCCAAACAUAAUUUCCUAAUCUGGUUAAUUCAAGGUCUUACUUUCAGAAGACCCUUAAGGAAUGAUAUAGUAAAUUAGUAGCACCAAAUCAAGAUGUGGGCUUUUGUCGUAAAUCCAUUAUCUUCACUAUAUUAAGAUGGAUUCUUCCCCUCUUCUUUCCUGCAUCUUCUGAGUCUUUAAGUCUCAAAUUAUUCCAGUGACCUCUGCUUCUUUGGAGUUGGUGUCAAGAUUCCAAGAUUUUCUUCUUUUUUUUAAAUUUUUAUUUAUUUAUGAUAGUCACAGAGAGAGAGAGAGAGAGAGAGAGAGAGAGGCAGAGACACAGGUAGAGGGAGAAGCAGGCUCCAUGCACCGGGAGCCCGAUGUGGGAUUCGAUCCCGGGUCUCCAGGAUCGCGCCCUGGGCCAAAUGCAGGCGCCAAACCCACUGCGCCACCCAGGGAUCCCUAUUUUCCUCAUUUUUAAAACAUGGUUUGAUUUGCCAAAGUAAUAGUGCACAAACGCAACAGAAUACACUGCAUAUUAGUACUUCUUUUAAGUAACCAACCCAAGGUGGGUUAAUAGCUGCACAUUAUUUAAGUUUUGUUCAGAUACUUUGAAAAUUUACUUGUCGAUUUUUUUUAAGAUUCAAAAAAGUCACUUAUUUGACAGAGAGAGAGAAAGCAUAAGCAGGGGGAGCAAUAAAGGGAGAGAGAGAAGCAAGCUGUCCCCUGAGCAGGGAGUGCAACAGGGGCUGGGUCCCGGGAUCCUGAGAUCAGCACCUGAGCCGAAGGCAGGCACCUCACUGAGCCACCCCGGCGCCGCUUACUUGUGAUUUGGUGCUUGCUGCGCGUAGAGAUGCACAUGUCAUGUGCAAUAAAUGGGUCCUCAAAUUGAUAACGUUGGGGGGGGGGGUUGGCUCUCGGCGGAUGCUGAUUCAGCAAGCAUUUACGGGGCCCAGGACCACUGUAACCGCUGGGCGCUGCACGAAGCAUCCUGGAGGCCGGACAUGGCUCAGUCUCCCUUGCAGAGCUCCGCAUUUCGGAGUCAAGGGUUCUGGGCCAAACUCUGGGAUCUGCUCAGGAACGCUCCGGGCACCAGGGCCGAGGACAGCCUAAGCUGCCUGCGGAGGCAGUGACGGCCCCGGGCGGCCCCCGGUUCAGGGCUCUCAGGCGCGACCUCACGAUGGCAGGGACCCUGAGCCCCACGCAGACUCCCGGGCUCCGGCGGAGCCACGCCCAACCUGUUCCAAACACGUUGCCCUCCUCGGGUCUCUAAGGCGGCAGGGGCGGCCCCGCCUUCGUCAUCCCUGGCACAUCCGCAGCCGGCGGGUCUCCGCGGGCAGAUCCGUCCCUCGCUGCAGAGCCCCGGCAUCCCGGGGUCGGCGCUCGCUUCCCUCCUGGCUGCUGGAGCCCCGCCGGGCAGCGCCGCGCCCCC
rnacentral:lncRNA from 1 species